rnacentral:lncRNA from 1 species
UUCAAUGAUAAUAUUACUAAAUAACUCAUACAACAUAAAUCAAAUUCUUUAAACCUCAGUAUUCAAUUCACAGUCAAAACUCCACCUCAAGUCCUCCAAACUGACCCAACAUCAAUACAUAAAAAUCACAUCUCGCACCUCAUGCAGGUAAUCACAAUCCGUCGAUGCACAACUGAUACCGAGUGCCAUGUGCACAUACGAGUGCGUGGAAGAAAUUCAAAGUGUUACACUUAUGUUGCACGAUUAAUUAAGGUCAUAAACACGGAAAUAAUCAAGUAUCAUGCACACAGAUUUUUAAUUGAGCAAAUCACUCAACAAUUCUAGAAAAACAUAUAGAUUGAGUAAAACUUUCAGGAACACGGAAAAUAAUUCAAAAAACCCUAAUUUGAAAUCACUUAAAGAAGGAAAACAACCACGGAAAACUUGAAAGCACGUCAACACACAGAGAUUCGAACAACAUAAAUCAUAGAAAGCGAAACCUGAAGUAGCGUAGUACUUAAAAAACAGUUAGUAAUAGAGAAGUAAAAGAACCUAAAAGAAUAGGCAGGAAAGUUUGAAAAUACUUCAGAUACCUAGAGGUUUGACCAACAAACAACAAGAAAACAAACCCUAAUAUAAUAAAAUGUUCAAAAAGUCGAUUAACCAGUAAGGAAAUAAAGGAACUUUAGGAAAAAUCAGCGAUGAACUCAGAAUCGCUCCAGAUCUACAAAGAUCUGAACUGAUUCAAGUCCAAAUAUUAGGUUUCUGAAAUAAAAAAGAAAGGGUAAAGAGAAUUUGGCCUUUGAAUUAAAUAUUUGAGCCAUAAAACUUUGAUAGAAAUCACUUACAUGCCAUAGACAAACUCUUGAAGAGUUUUAAACGAGAUCUGGACCAGAUCUCUUCGAGGUUCUUCCACAAAACCACACAAUCGAGCAACCGGGGGAAAUAGAAAACACGCAGAGGCCUCGUACAACCAUGGAAAUCCAUAGAUCGAGUAGGAAUCAAAGAUAUUAGAACUGAUUUUGGGUGGUAGCGAUUAGUGUUAGGGCUUGGUCUCAGAGAGAACCAAAGAGAAUAGGGUUUCAGGGGAGGCUGUAGGGAGGAAAUGACUUAUG